AUGUUGUGCUGUCACUCUAUCAAGGUUCUGAUACGAAACGACAUACUCAAAAUCCCGAGUAAGAACAUCGUGAAGAGGUGGACCAAAAUGGCAAAGGAAGUGCAGCCUUCAAACCUUGCUCUGCCUCAUGCAUCGAUUCAGCCAGACGAUGCUUCAUACCGGCAAAAUAUCCUGUACAUUGCCGCUCUAGAAACGGUGAAGGAGACCUCCCUUUGCAAGGGCAUGCUUGACAAGACACUAAAAGUUUUUCAGGAACUGAGGACCGAAGCUAGACAUAUGCGAUUGCUGGAGGAGGAAAGCCAUAAUGAGCCGGGUGAAGGACGGUGUGAUGCAGAUAAUUUCAUUGCCAUCACGUCAUGUGAGCAGUUGCAUCCGCCAAAGCGAGUGAAAUCCAAAGGUAGGACAGCAACUGUAAGGAUGAAAUCAAGGAUGGAUUAUGUAUCACUCUUCCAGCAAAAGAGCAAGAAGGUUGAUAGUGUUUACAAUCAACCAAACUUUCUGUCAGAAAUCGGAAGAGACAACACCUCUAGCGACCAUCAUAAUGAUUUGAUAUCCCAAUACAAGAGGGUUAUCAAAUGUAGCAGAUGUAAGGGAGAAGGUCAUAAUAGGUCAUCGUGCAAGAAACGCGGGUUCUGA
rnacentral:rRNA from 1 species